UACGUAGGGCGCAAGCGUUGUCCGGAAUUAUUGGGCGUAAAGAGCUCGUAGGCGGCCAGUUGCGUCUGCUGUGAAAUCCCGGGGCUCAACCCCGGGCUUGCAGUGGAUACGGGCUGGCUGGAGGCAGGCAGGGGAGAACGGAAUUCCCGGUGUAGCGGUGAAUUGCGCAGAUAUCGGGAGGAACACCGGUGGCGAAGGCGGUUCUCUGGGCCUGUACUGACGCUGAGGAGCGAAAGCGUGGGGAGCGAACAGG
rnacentral:rRNA from 1 species